rnacentral:rRNA from 1 species
UACGGAGGGUGCAAGCGUUGCUCGGAAUUAUUGGGCGUAAAGCGCACGCAGGCGGCAAAGUAAGUCAGAUGUGAAAUUCCCGGGCUUAACUUGGGAUCUGCAUCUGAUACUGCCUUGCUUGAGUACGGAAGAGGGGAGCGGAAUUCCCAGUGUAGAGGUGAAAUUCGUAGAUAUUGGGAGGAACACCGGUGGCGAAGGCGGCUCCCUGGUCCGAUACUGACGCUGAGGUGCGAAAGCGUGGGGAGCAAACAGG